UACGGAGGAUGCAAGCGUUAUCCGGAUUCAUUGGGUUUAAAGGGUGCGUAGGCGGACUAUUAAGUCAGUGGUGAAAGCCUGCAGCUUAACUGCAGAACUGCCAUUGAUACUGAUAGUCUUGAGUUUGGUUAAGGUAGGCGGAAUGUGUAAUGUAGCGGUGAAAUGCUUAGAUAUUACACAGAACACCAAUUGCGUAGGCAGCUUACUGAGCCGACACUGACGCUGAGGCAUGAAAGCGUGGGGAUCGAA
rnacentral:rRNA from 1 species